GACGGAGGAUGCAAGCGUUAUCCGGAAUGAUUGGGCGUAAAGCGUCCGCAGGUGGCAGUUCAAGUCUGCUGUCAAAGACCGGAGCUUAACUUCGGAAAGGCAGUGGAAACUGAACAGCUAGAGUAUGGUAGGGGCAGAGGGAAUUCCUGGUGUAGCGGUGAAAUGCGUAGAGAUGUGGAGGAACACCGAUGGCGAAGGCAGCCCCCUGGGCUGAGAUUGACGCUCAGGCACGAAAGCGUGGGGAGCAAACAGG
rnacentral:rRNA from 1 species